rnacentral:rRNA from 1 species
UACGGGGGGGGCAAGCGUUGUUCGGAAUUACUGGGCGUAAAGGGCUCGUAGGUGGCCAACUAAGUCAGACGUGAAAUCCCUCGGCUUAACCGGGAACUGCGUCUGAUACUGGAUGGCUUGAGGUUGGGAGAGGGAUGCGGAAUUGCCAGGUGUAGCGGUGAAAUGGCGUAGAUAUCUGGAGGAACACCGGUGGCGAAGGCGGCAUCCUGGACCAAUUCGUGACGCUGAGGAGCGAAAGCCAGGGGAGCAAACGG